CGUGGGACAGGGGCGUCCGAAGGUGCCGGCUCGGAUGGGCUCGGCUCGGCCGCCGCCACACCGCCCGGGCCUCCCGGGCCUCCCCGGCCUCCCGCCCUCGCGCCCCUCGGGAGGCUGUAGUCCUGCCCCCGGCGCGGCCAGCCCGCGCUCCCGCACACCCCGCCCGCUCGCCCGCGCGUGUGUACGUGCGCCGGAGGCCUGGAGAGACCGGAGUUUAACGCCCAGUGUAAGCCGGAAAGGGAGGAAGGCUGUGCGAUGGGUGGGUGGGUGGUAGGUGGGUGGGUGGUCUAGUGAAUGGAUGGACAGAUGGACGGACGGAUGCACGGAUGAAUGGAUGGAUGGAGCCCCGUGCAAACCAAGGUUUCAUCACGUGCCUAACGACUCCGCUGAAAGUCCCAGGGAAGCAGAUGAUUUAUUAUUAUUAUUAUUAUUAUUAUUAUUAUUAUUAUUAUUAUUAUUAUUAUGCUUAAAUAACAGAGUAGAGAGAUAUUGAGACACCCUAGGAAUGAAGGAAAUGGCCAGGACCAAAUGAAUCAUUCAUCCCCGUUUGCCUGCGGUUUUCACAGCUUCUUCCUAAGUUGGAGAAAUGGGAAACGAUUUGAAAGCUGCCAACCGGAGGUGAAAAUCUUGCCACUUGUGAAACUGAAGGAACAUCCCCAAGGCCUGGCUUCUCCUUUUAACAGAAGGUGCUCAGAGGAACUUUCCUCUUGCCCACUGCCCUCAUCCUCUAGCAAUUUUCAAAGAGCUUCUGAGGUGCUGAUCCUCCUAGCUAUAGUCUUCGUACUGCUGCCACAAAUUCUUCUGUAAGGAUUAGAAUGACAUAAAGGAGACAGAUCACUUUUGUCUCGGUGGUAGUAAAGCAACCUGUGCCUCUGGCUUUCAGGGGGAAGGGCUGGGCCGCUGUAAAUCUAGUUUUCCUUCCUCUCCUGGGCCAGCUGUGGAGGAGAGGGAGGGAGAGAAGGAGAAGAUAAUCAAGAUCAGCUGUAAAUCUAGUUUUCCUUCCUCUACUGGGCCAGGUGUGGAGGAGAGGGAGGGACAGAAGGAGAAGAUAAUCAAGGUCAGCCUUUCCUGACCCCUUGGUCUAAGCAGACUAGACCUUAUUGG
rnacentral:lncRNA from 1 species